rnacentral:tRNA from 1 species
GAGGGUAUAGCUUAGUGGUAGAGUGAGCUGCUUUGCAUGCACGAGGUCCUGGGUUCAAUCCUCAGUACCUCCA